GAUCCUGGCUCAGGAUGAACGCUAGCUACAGGCUUAACACAUGCAAGUCGAGGGGCAGCAUGAACUUAGCUUGCUAAGUUUGAUGGCGACCGGCGCACGGGUGAGUAACACGUAUCCAACCUGCCGAUGACUCGGGGAUAGCCUUUCGAAAGAAAGAUUAAUACCCGAUGGCAUAGUUCUUCCGCAUGGUAGAACUAUUAAAGAAUUUCGGUCAUCGAUGGGGAUGCGUUCCAUUAGGUUGUUGGCGGGGUAACGGCCCACCAAGCCUUCGAUGGAUAGGGGUUCUGAGAGGAAGGUCCCCCACAUUGGAACUGAGACACGGUCCAAACUCCUACGGGAGGCAGCAGUGAGGAAUAUUGGUCAAUGGACGAGAGUCUGAACCAGCCAAGUAGCGUGAAGGAUGACUGCCCUAUGGGUUGUAAACUUCUUUUAUACGGGAAUAAAGUGAGGCACGUGUGCCUUUUUGUAUGUACCGUAUGAAUAAGGAUCGGCUAACUCCGUG
rnacentral:rRNA from 1 species